UUGUGGUGCAAGUGGAGGCGGUGGAAGUGCUUUUGCAGAGCGAGUCUCUUCACGAGGCCGAAAUGAGUCGAAGAAGGAAAGAGGGAAAUUGUGGGAGAAAGAUGAGUUGUGAUUCCAGAGGAAUUGGGUUUAUUAUAGGAGGAGAAAGAGGACUUUGGAGGCUGGAAUUUGGAGGGUUGAUUGGAUUUUUCGCAGAGGAGAAGCAGAGAGUGGCUGUGGCCAUUUCUGCAGCAAUCGAAUCCGGCUCCGGCAACAAUCAACUCCAUCUCCGGCAGCAAUAGACUCCGACUCCAGCAACGGCAAAACAGGUAAAGAAUUGGACAAAAGAAAGACCGGAUAUCUUCAACAAAAUCAAAACACAAUUUAGCCCCACAUGUUAUGCGUAUUCAAGUGUGAGUAUCUGUGAGACUAUCCAUGCUAUGAAGAGCGGAGAAAUCAUAGAGUUAUCAGUGCAACAUCUUCUCGAUUCGAUUCUCGCAGUGAACCGGAGCGUUAAGAGAAAUAUUCCUUAUGGGAAUUGUCUACGUGCCCUGUAGCAUAUGCAAAGCCUGCAACAUAUACAAAGCAAUGGAUUAUCCUUGGAAAAAGGACUAUCCAAAUGAGCUUCGGGGCAAAGACUGUGUGGCUCCAGUAGUGGUAAGUACUCUACAUCCAUUUAAUGUAUGUGCCUGGAGCUUAUGAAAGUGGUUAAGUAGUAGCAUGAAUUUGAUCUUAGUUUUUGAGUUAUUUUCAUUAGUAUAUAACUGGACCAUCUGUUGGUAUAAUUAGAAUGUGAUUAUAGAUUUCAUGAUGCAUCUUGAGUUGAAACAAGUCAUUGCCAUAUGCUGGCUUUAUUACACUUGAAACUUAGGGGUAGUCUCUACUCUCUAGAAAUACCUGAAAUCUACAAUACUUUUAGCAAAAUAAGAGGAUAUUACACAAGUUUCUUAUUUUGGAAAAUGAGUUUUAUCACUAGUGGUAGUCAUGACCUUGUCACUUGUCUUGAAGGUUCAAAUCAAGAUACAUCAUGAAAUCUAUAUUCACAUUCUAAUUAUAACCUAGAGAUGGUCCAGUUAUAUCCUAACGAAAAUAACUCAAAAACUAAGAUCAAAUUCUUGCCACUACUGAGGCACAUAUAUAUUUAAUGGAUGUAGAGUACUUACCACUACUGGAAGUCACGCAGUCUCUGUCCCGAAGCUCAUUUGGAUAGUCUUUUUCCAAAGACAAUCCAUUGCUUUGUAUAUGCUCUAGGGCACAUAGCAUCUUCUUGCUCCGGUUCACUGUGGGAAUCGAAUCAAGAAGAUGUUGCACUGAUAACUCUAUGUUUUCUCCGCUCUUCAUAGCAUGGAUAGUCUCACAUAUACUCACACUUGAAUACGCAUAGCAUGUGGCUUUUCAGACAAAAAAAACAUAUUACUUCUAAUUGAUGGGAAAUUAGAGAGCAACUCAUCUCACACGAAAUAACUUGUAUUAAAUCCCUAAAAAUACAUAAUUACGGAACUCACAUCUCCUUCUCUCUUUCACGCCACACAUGCACUCGUGGGGAUAUCCCUUGAGGGGAAUCCAACAUUAACUACAAUUUAAUUAGUUAACAAAAACUAAGCUCAGGAUACUUACGGCCAAACUAUGUUUUGAUUUUGUUGAAGAUAUUCGGCCUUUUUUUGUCCAAUUCUUUACCUAAAAUUUUAGGAAAAAUAUAGAAUAAGAAUAAAUAAUAUAAAAAUUACAAAUUACUACCCUCAAGAUUACUGACAAACACAAAUUAAACUCCUACGUUCUGAAAAUUACAUUGGCCCUUUACAUUUGAGUUUGAAAUACAUAUUCAACACCAACAUAAAACGGUCGUUAUUUGAGUUGAUCUUUGAAAAAUGACAUAAAUUGAACAUAAUUGCCAUUUUGUAGCUGUUAGAAAAGUGGAAGAACACUUUUUCACCAUUGGCAAUGGCUUAUAGCUGUUACACUUGUGCCUAUAAAUUGGAGAGAUGAAGUGUGUAGGUAAACUCCAUUUCUACUUCCAUUCACUUCACCAAAUUUUCACCUAAAUCAGACCAGACCAUUUGUCAGGCUAUCGUUCUCUUGUUCCUUCAAAGUUAUGUGACCUCCAUUUCUCUAUUCAUUCACUAGUCACUACACUAAAUAGGCUUAACCUCAAUGUCUCCUCCCAUUCAGUAUAUGCAUGCAGAUUUGGAAUGCUUUUAAGUAUAAAAAUCUGGAAAAAAUGUGAUGGAUUGCUUGUUUCUAUGUUGUGGUAUGGUCAAUUUGGAUGGGGUGAAAUGAGAUUGUUUUUUUAAACGAAAAACGUUGAAUUUGGGGGAAGUUAUUGAUCUAGCAAAAACAAGGAUGGCUUUUUGGGUGAAAGGGAAAUACAAGGUUAGUGGCUACUCAAUUGAAGAUUUCAGAAGGAGCUUGGACGGCAUAAGGAGAUUAAUGAUUCAAAAGUUAAAGGAUCGGAAAACACAUUAUAGUUGCUUAUGUGUGUUGUGUGGGUAUGUAAUGUGUGUUUAUAGAGAAAUCUGGGUUGGUUUUGGGUUUUAGUAAAACAUUGUUGCAUCUUACAUGGGUCUGUGGGUGGUCCACACCAAUGGGUCUUUGUUUUUGUGGAGGCUUUAUGUGUUUUGUGUCUGUAUCGUAUCUGUAUUGUUUUGGUAAGGGUUUGUGUAUUAAUAAGGGUUCUAUUAGAAGUCAGUCUUAUGUUUGGUGUCUGCUUAUGUUGAGUCUUAAGGGAGGGGAGUCUGUCUUAAUUGAGUCUUGAGUCGAGUCUGUGUCAUGAGUCUUACAAUGGCCUAUUUUUAAGCUUCCCAUUUCUGCAUAUGGGAAUGUUCCUGGCUGCUGAUAUGAACCAUGGGCCUCCAAUCUAGGCCCUCUCCACACUUGUUUUGAAGAUUCUGCUACUGCUACUGUUAUGUUUGGUGCUAUUUGCUGGCUGCUGCUGUGGACAAUGAUAUUGCUGGUUUGCUGUUAUGGGUGUACACAAUGGGCCUCCUUUUUUUUGGCCCUCUCUACUAUUGUUUGAAGAUUUUGCUGCCGUUAAGGUUAUCUUUGGUGCUGUUUUUGCUGGAUGCUGUUACUAAUGAUAUUGCUACAUGGGAGGCUUUAAGAAACAGAUCCAGGAGUGAAGACUCAAUGGACUAAAACUGUGUCAAAAAUGAUCCAUCAUCCUAUGGCUAACCUGUCUGCAGAGAUUGUCAACUAAGGAUCGUCUCCUAAGAUGGGGUAUGGAAGUUGAUCCGGGUAGUGUUCUGUGUUCCCACAACGCAGAAUCAAUUCAACAUUUGUUUUUUGACUGUUCAUUUUCCAGGAGUAUUUGGGAACCUAUUCUGCGGAAAUUUCAGAUCCAAAGAAGGGCUGAUGUUUGGGAUCCAGAGCUGAAUGGGGCAUGUGGUUUGUGCAGGAGUAAGUCAUUCAGGUCUUUGCUAUUCAAAAUUUGCUCUUGCUGCUGGGGUUUACUUCAUCUGGGUUGAGCGUAAUUCUAGAGUCAGUUUCCAAACUCCAUGGAGAACCAAAGACUUUGUAGUCAAUGAAAUAUCUCCACUAGAGUUCUCGGAUCUGCUCGUAGGAGUUCGUUUGGUUGGUUUUUAGUUUGUUGUAGGUUUCUUUUGUGUACAGCAGUCUGUUUAGUGGUUUUGUACCUGAGAUUUUUCAAUCGGUUGGUUAUAAAAUGGCUCAUUUACCAUAAAAA